AUCGUGGGUGAUAGGUUUUAAGAGAAAAAUUUCUCUCUUCUUCUCUACACUCAAUCUUCCUAAACACCAUCCUUAAAGCCAAGAAUUAAUUCUAGCAAAAUUAAUUCUAGCAAAAUUAAUUCUUGGUCAUUGACGUACUGUCUUCGUGUGGACGAUGUGAGUUUGAUUCCGUUCUCGAAUUGAUAACGAAUCACAUUCAUCACAUUCAGAGACACUGACGGAGUCUCCAAUCACUGGUAUAAUCUAAUCUUUGUAUGGAUCUAUAUUGUUUCAAUUUAAGCAUAUAUAUAUCAGACCCAGAUCUUGGCAAAAUCAGAGUAAUCGAUGGGCAAAAAUUUUUGUUUUCCGCUGCCUUUGUUCAUCAGUUUACUAACAGAAGGUUGCUUGGUUUUUUAGAGGAGUUUGUAGCUGCUUAUUGUUUUAUUGUGAGGGAGUAAGGUAAUGAGGAAGAAGAAGAUGAUGAUUUGAUUUUGGGAUUUGAAUGGAGAAGGUUGCUGGGUUUUUUUAGAAGAGGCUGCGACUGCUUUUGUUUUAUUGUGAGGAGUUGGGUUGUGAGGAACAAGAAGAAGAUGAAGCAGCCGCUGUUUUAUUUGGGGAUUUGUAAUGCUAGGGUUACACCAUAUUUUUACUUCAUUCUCUUACAUCAUGACGUGACAGAUGACAUCUACCAUGUCACCCAACAGCCAUGUCACUUACCCCUACGUUUAAAAAAAAAAAAAAUUGCAAACUCCUAAAUUUCAAAUUUCCCAUUUGCGCUAAAACGGUAAAACCCACAUCCCAAAUCAAUUUCAGUUUAUUCUAAAUCAUAAACCCUAAAAUUCUUCCACAAUUUCCUUUCAAUUUUUGAAACCCUAGCCACCACAAUCUCCAACCUCAGCCCGUCCCCACGGCAACCACCACAGCCGCACCAGUUUGCCGCCAUCUAACUCUAUUAUCUGGCGGUUAAGAGUCACUGGUAAGUUACUGUAACCAUAACUCAUCUCUCCUGCGGUAUCCCAGUGGCAUCUCUCGGCUUAUCCAAAUUCCCUUCAUUUUCACAGAGGAAAUAGCGGAUUUGAGAUUUGGUUUCAGUUGAGGUGCACUUAUUUUAGCUGUCAUUUUGGGAGUAUUUAUUUUGAUCCCAUGAGACCGUGAAUAUGAUUAUUCGAAAACGGAUCACUCAAUUGUUAACUCUAAAAAUAAUUGACACUAAAUAUAAGGCAUCCAAAAUAUAGUAAGACUAAAGUCUUUGCAUAAUAAGGGAACUGAUUGCUGGAUAACCACUAAGAACAAGGUUCUGAGUGUUGAAUCUGAUCAGAAGAGAACAAACUAAAGAACUUAGUCAUGGCACCAUUGCAGCAACAAGAUAUUCAGCAUGCGAAACCAUUGGAGGUCGCUGUCGGUACUUGGUAGGACAAUGCAAGCAAGAGCAAUUGCAAUUUGGAAAAAAGGGGCAGAAAAAAUAAACUGAUCAAAAACAGCCAAUUCACUUCACACUCUUCAUGUUGUAAUGUCGCUUGUGUACAAGUUUUCAUAACCCAACUCAUUCAAAAACAUAGUUAAGACACACGUUCUGUAUAAUUUAAUUAAAUAUAUUUUCUUUAUAUGCAACA